CGGCCCUGGCUGGUCAGUCUGACUUCUAAUGCUUGGCAUAGAAUAAAGCUUUACAUAACUUUUACUUUGUCUCAGCCUCAUUUCCCUGGCCGGUCAAUCUAACUUCUAAUGCUUGGCAUAGAAUAAGGUUUUGCGUAACUUUGUCUCAGUCUCAUUCCUUUGAUAACAGACCCAACAUAUGGGGGCUCGUCUGGGAUCAAACAACGAGAACUGAGCCAGCAUCAGAAUUUCUGGGAAAAGCCUCCAGAGAAAAUUCAUAUGGGAGACUUCCAGGACAAAUACAGGUCUUCGAUAUGUUGAAAUCCUGAAACUGAAAUGGAUAAAAAUUUCCAGAACUAACUAAAACUACAUUCAAACUAAACCAGAAUUAGUAACAUGGGACCUCAAUCCCCGGUGAAUGAAGAACUACUGCCCAAAGGAACCCCCUGACUGGAACCAAACUCUGAUAUAGGUAAGGAGAGUCUGUUUCUACCGCCAGGCCCUGCUGGGAGGCCUCCAUGCGACUGCAAGGAGACCCACAAAUUUAUCUAAGAUUAGUGCGGUGACUCGAGAUAAGGAUGGGUCUCCGGGCCUCAUGGAAGCCAAUCAAAUGUAGAGCCCGAUCGACCCUGAGGCGCCCCCAAAAUCAGAGGCAAUAAAUCUUGCCUUUGACAGUCAGUCAGCCCCAGAUAGAAGGAGAAAACUUCAAAAAAUUGAAGAACUUGAAGGGAAAAAUUUGACUGAGUGAGUGGGAAUAGCAGAGAAGGUGUUAACAACCGAGAUACACAAGAAGAUGAAAAACCGACUAGAAAAAUAGUCAAAGUUUUGGCGUCACAUGAGACGGGGGAAAAGCAAAGGAAAAGAGGUCAAUAAAAAGGAAAAAGGUAAAAAUGAUCAAUGAAACGAGUCUGAUCAUAGACAGAGCCGAUGAGAAGUCCUAGCUUCAGGUCAGUGUGCUUACUGCAAGGGAAGCGGACACUGGGCCGAGGAGUGGCCCCAGAAAGACGACGGCCACGCCGGCCACCAGAGACUGAAGGGACCAUGGCUCAGAGCCCCUCCCUGAACCUCGGGUAAGAGCUGCGGUGGAGGAAAAAUCAAUUGACUUUUUGAUGGACACGGGAGCCCCAUUUCAUCAUUACUAGAGCCUAUGAAAAAACUCUCUGAAGAGGAGGUCUCAGUACAGGGGCCAAUGGCACAAAAAGACGUAAACAAACAACAGAAAGGACCUUAAAUGUGGCCUGUGUCUGUUCGCGUCUGGCAGGGCUCCCUGCCCUGGGAAGCAAAGGCAGGGAUCUCCAGAGAACACACCUUUGCUCCCGUCAAAAGGCCCAAACUGGGGAGUCCCGACCCGGUCAGGACUUGUGGGAAGCUAACAAGUGGAUUAAAGAUAUCCACCCGAUGGCGCCUAACCCCUCUACCCUACUCUCCCUCCUGAGCCCCAAGAGAACCAUGUACACUGUCUUAGAUCUCAAGGAUACAAGCGAGUCUCAGCCCCUCUUUGCUCUUGAGUGGUCCAACCCACAGAAAGUGUUCCAAGGUCAGCUCACCUGGACAAGAACAAUGCCCGAGUGAUGGGGUAUCAGGCCCUCCUCCUCAACGAACCGAAAGUGACUCUCCGGUCCCCGGCGGUGCUAAAUCCAGCCAUGUUGCUGCCAGAGGAGGUGACUAACCACAGCACUUGCUAAUAGCUGCUGAGGACUAUGAGUCAUGCUUGCGGGGGACAAGCCACUUAUUUAGGCUUUGAUCUCCAAGAAGGAGUGCGUUCACUGUGAGUCCAGGAAACAGGUAACCAACCGAUACCCCUGCCCCACCCACACUACUGCAGGGAGGUCCUAACCCAGGUCACAGGAAUAAGGCCGGAUCUCACAGACACUCCCCUCCCGGAUGUGGAGAUGACUUUGUUCACAGAUGGGGGUAGCUACAUGGCCGAUGAAAAGAGGUAUGCAGUGGCUGCAAUGGUUUCUCCUGAGCAGGAACUCUGAAAGGCGGCCCUGCCACACAUCUCUAGGAACAGCAGGCAUGAGGCAAAAGGAAGGAAAGACUCCUCUCAGCAAAGAAGAGCCCUGCCUUGGGCAGUGAGCUCAGAGCGUGCCCCUGAGGCUGUCCAAUGCCAUUCACUCGCCAUUAUUGGGACACCCUCAUCUGCAAAGCCUCUGAGCCAGCAGCUCUUGGGAGGUUGUCUUUGUGCUCCGGGGUGGACUACACAAUGUGAGGAACCCUGCAACAGCUCCACCGGUAAAGGUCUCUAAGCGCUUGCCAGCGAGAGGCCACAGAGUCACUCCUCUGGCUGUGGUGCCCCACCCUGGACCCCUGCGUUCACGAGCCUGCGGGGGCAGCAGGGCUGAGUUAUGAGUGGACAAAGGAUGGGCCUUGGAGCCCACAGCAUUCCGGGCUCCUUUGUUGCAGCAGCUCUAGAAAACGAGUGCAGGAGAUGGUCCUUGGUUAUCCAAGUAUGUCCAGUGUAAUCUCACAAACCCUUACAAGCUGAGAAAUGAGGAAGAGGAGGAAGUCCAAGAGAUCUGAAAUGUGAAAAGACCAGACCCCCGUAUCACUAGAGACCGCAGGGCAAUGUGGAAACUGUGGGAAAACAACAAAUCUGCAUUCCGAGUCAGCCUAGAAGCAAUUCUUCCCCAGAAUUCUUUCCCUCCAGAAAGGAAAGCUGACCUGGUGAACCCUGGUGGCGCCUCCAGAGGCACCAGGCAUGGACCCCACUGCACUUGCCCAGGCACGUGAUCCAUGCACACCUGGAGAUCAUGAGUCUUGCUUCAAGCCACUAGAUCUGUGCCUAUUUGUCAUGCAGCAAUGGAACAUUGAUACAAACCACUUGGUGGACAGUAGCGGAGCGGAACACCUGAGAAAUGAGGCAAGAGAGGGCUUUAUACAUAUGAUCCUCCCUCCACAGCAGAUGAGCAGUCAGAGGAGACACUCCCAACAAGCUGAUCUGAUAAGGACUAGUAGAGAAAAGCACUAGAGA